GUGUCUUCAUCCAUGCAUCGUGGAGACUCUGUUAGUGUACUCUCAAGAAUGACAAGGAUGGUGUGUGUUGCAAGAAGGACAUAUUUUGUUCAGGGUCCUCUGCAGUUAGUACAUAUCAACACAAAUCAUAAACUCAUCAGGUAGGCCAUACUUUUGAUAUUUACAUGCUAUUUAGAUAUACAAUACUUAAAUACUUAAUACCUAAAUAAAGGAUGAUACCCUUGUUUUGCAUCCGUAAAUAAAUGUACACAGAUACAAAUUUAAACUGAUUUUGUGUUUUUUUUCCCCAAGAGAUAUGGUCUUGUUAUUUUUGGAGGGAUUGAUGGGCUCACAAAAGAUCAUGUACCUGGGUACUGCGACCAAUAAUAAAGCAUCCACUGCACUUGAUUUCUUCUCGGAGGCAGUGCAGAAGUAUGGAUUUCCAUUAAGGUGUCAAACAAAUGUUAUACUGGCCAUCAGCUCCAGUAUUCUUGAUUGAACGGUUUGAUAAUUUCAACCGUUUUGCACAUCACUGGACAAUGUUUUGACCAGUGAGAUGACCAGAAAGACUUAUGCACAACUAAGACAUGAAGUAAGUAGGACCGACUCUUUAAUUCAAUUACUACACUAAUUUGUUGAGAAAUUGCCAUUUUAGUCAAAUCCUAUACAUCAUUACUUGUCUAGAUAAAUCAAAGUGAAUCAAAUCACUAUUUAUCUGUCUAAAGCCCUGGUGAUGAUUAAAUGUAUAGCAUACAAUAUUUAAUCACUUCACCUUCUAUCUUUCCUGGUAAACAAUUAUUAGAGUGAUUUGGCUGAUACUGUUAGGUAUACAUUUUUUCCAAAGUCUAUGUAUUUGGAAUUCUCAAAAAAUAAAUAAAGAUGUUAAAAGUUACUGUAGCCUAUAUCUUCUUUUUUUACAUUUAGAAACCUGAAAUGGCCAACUUACAAAAACGUAUUUUAUUUUUUGUUUCUUUAUGUGUGUGAUACAUUCUUUUUAGAGUAAGAGGUAACGAAGGAGUGGAAAAUAUUGGUAUAGUGCGAUGCAUUUUCCCUAUUAGGGGCUGUGGAAGGGGAAGUUUCCUGUCAGGAAAGAGUGUGCACCAUCAACGGUAUAUGUUUUAAAUAAUAUUCAGGAGAAUAAUCAUGUCAGAUGUUGCCUUCCACAAAGUCAUAAUUUGUCAUAGUUCAAAUAUACUGUUCAAACUUGAGGGUAAUUUCAUGUUUUCUUUUAACAGAAAAAAGAAAUGGAAAUACCAUGGGUUUUUCUUUUUAUACCAAAAAGGCAACAAACAAAGCUGUUUUUCCAUUUUUGUUGUCUGAAUCAAAAAAACGACCAAACCAAAUGCAAAUUAAAGCUGCUGCGCAGCUGUGAGUCGGGACCGGGCAUUUUGAGGAGGAGGAAGAAGAAGGAGGAAGAGGGAAAAAAAGAAGACAAAAGCAGUCCAUCAGCAGAACAUUCCAGACCAAAGUCAUCAACCUUGAAAUCACGCUUCUCUAAUCCACACAGCACAAUGACUGAGUAGACAUUAGCAUGUUUAUUCUGCAUGGGCAGAAUAGGACUCAAACUCACAACUUUAGACAUUAAAGGCAAGUUUUUCUGUUUCUUCGUUUUUUGAUUCAAACGAAAAAACAAACUAUCAAAAUGCACACAGACCUGUUUGGGUGACUAUUUCAAACGUGCACUACGAGAUUCUUCACAGCCUUGAGGAUGAAGGUGUUCUAGAUCCUUCUGCAGUGUUGUGCAUGAAUGUGCUAAAAGAGCGUCAUUCAUUGAACACGCUCAUGUGAACAUGAGCGUCGUUCACACCCGUGAGAGUUAACCCGGCAUGCCGGUGUUUUGGGUCACAGAUUUUUGAAAGACACAGCGAGAUGAAGCAUCCAUCUUGGGAAAUAUCUGCGAAUGAAUGAUGAUCACAAGCGAUCAUUAACAAAGGGUAAGACGAGCCAACAGCCACAAAGUUCCUCCACCCAAGUCAAACUCACAGCAUUUCGUAAAAGAAAGAAGAAAUUAACAUGAACUAGUUCAUUUUUGGUACUGUGAAUUUAGUUCAAAAUUCAAAACUGUAAACUAUGAUUGUGAACUUGUUCAUGCAGAGGGAUCUCGAUGUCUUCAUUGUGGGUUGGGAUAAUCACUAUCUAAGAGAGAGCAAAAUCUGUCCACACAAAAACUGCAGACAAUGGGACUCAUCCAGAAUCCUAUUGAUGCUCCAUACCUGGCAGAGGAUUGUUUCUGCCCAGGAGGCAGGGCUGAAGGGCUGAGUAGGUCCAAGUGAUGACCAGACAUACGGAGCAACUCAUGAGGUCCGCGACGAAGGCGAAACCCCUCUGGAGGACGGACUAAAGACCGGUGACGAAGAC